rnacentral:rRNA from 1 species
GACGAACGCUGGCGGCGUGCUUAACACAUGCAAGUCGAACGGAAAGGCCCUGCUUUUGUGGGGUGCUCGAGUGGCGAACGGGUGAGUAACACGUGAGUAACCUGCCCUUGACUUUGGGAUAACUUCAGGAAACUGGGGCUAAUACCGGAUAGGAGCUCCUGCUGCAUGGUGGGGGUUGGAAAGUUUCGGCGGUUGGGGAUGGACUCGCGGCUUAUCAGCUUGUUGGUGGGGUAGUGGCUUGCCAAGGCUUUGACGGGUAGCCGGCCUGAGAGGGUGACCGGCCACAUUGGGACUGAGAUACGGCCCAGACUCCUACGGGAGGCAGCAGUGGGGAAUAUUGCACAAUGGGCGGAAGCCUGAUGCAGCAACGCCGCGUGCGGGAUGACGGCCUUCGGGUUGUAAACCGCUUUCGCCUGUGACGAAGCGUGAGUGACGGUAAUGGGUAAAGAAAGACCGGCUAACUACGUG